AAAGUUUUCGAUCACUGUUAAUGAGUGAGUUGUUUGCAAAUGACUCUACAGUCAGGUGUAAUGUUGAGAAAAUGUUUAAUCCUAUCUGGAAAAAGUUAUUACUUGAGUCGCUACCAUCCCACACACAGGUGUCAGACACACUGCUCCGGCUGAAUCACCAUACGAAUGACUGGAGCGUAUGCGCCUCUCAACCGGACCAAGAUGGCGGCCGUAUUUCUCAUUGCGCAGCGCCCCAAGUGGGGUCUACUCUUUAUUAUGUCUAUGGAUGAAAGCACAUCCUUCCUCCGGGGUGGAGAAGCUCUUUCUUUAGCCUCCGUGAGUUGCCUGCAAAGCGGCCGGGAGCAGCAUGGCAGACGGCGCUCCUGCUUCCCUCAGCUGCUGUUUCAGCCCAUCGUAUGCCUCACGUUUCUUCAUCCCAGUCGUGGCGAAAUCGCUGUGAACAGAGACCCUGGAUCCAUUGCAGAUCCUGGCUGGCCCAGCUGGCUCCAUCACCCUCUGAAAUGGCAGCGGCGGCGGCCUGGGCUCCUGAUGCAGUCCGACCUCCAUACCAGGGUGUGAUGACUCUUUCUUGCUUCAUGCCUUGGGCCUUGGUCGUCAUCUUUCAGACAUCAGGUAGCCAUGACUGAAACAGUCCAGCGGCUGCCUGGUCUCUGUGUCCUCCGUUAAAUCCACAACCCGAACGUUGAGGCGGCUCAUGUUGUCCUCAACCAUGUCCAAACUCUCCGUCAGGACGCUGACCUGUUCUUCCAGCUCCACAAUCCAUGGCUCUUGUGUUGCGGCAAAGGUUUCCACCACCAUCAGCCUAGUUUCCAUGUCUUUCUGACCUUUAUAUCCUCCAGUUCUCCCCACGUUAUUGAAAGUCUGCGGCCAAAACUUUUCUAAGGACACAGCCCGUACUGUUCGGAAGAAAAUGUUGCAACACUCUCGGUCGUUGUCAGGAGAAACAGAAGAUCAGCGCCAAGUGGAACGGAGCUCUGCAGUCACCAGUCCUCCGGAGCAGCGAGCUGCGUCUCCUUUAAAAAACAUCCUGCUCCUCUGGUGGAGAUAAGGUCGCACAUCCAGAUCGUGGCGCAGUUCACUUCACAAGUCUCCUUGUCUCCAGGAUCUCUGCUCCAUCUGACUGGUCCACAGGAAGAAAUAGUCAAUAAUAAAUGUCUGCAGCGCCAGAGACAGCACUGUCAGGACCACGCCAUAAGGACCGUGCUUUAGCGCCCCCUAUCGAGCCAUAGUUGAAGAACCGGAGACCGCACCGUCAGGACCGGGCUUUCAGUGAGAUCACUGUGUUGACUGAAGAUGUCUGGUGUGGAUGAAGAGGAGGACAGAUCAGGUGUGGACAGACAUCAGCAGCUGAGACACACAGCAGAGUCUUCAGGUUCCAGCAGGUUGUCUCUAAAAAGUAACCAGUCCAAAGGUCUUUUACCAGCCUUCAGUGUUGAACCUGGACCUUCAGACACAAAAGAGAAGAGGACUGAUGUCUGUGAGGAGCAGCCAGAAAGAUCCAGAAGUAAGAGAGAAUCAGAAUCAGAAUCAUUUAUUAAUGGCCACACAACAAAGCUGGUGGAAUUUGUUUCCGGUACAGCACUUAAUGCUCACAUCUCACAGGGUCAGUUACAGUGUCAGCAAACCGAACAUUACAUUCAAUAGACAUGAAUGAUUAUACAACAGAUUACAUCAAGGCAAUGGUUGGUUUAAAGUCCGUAUAGCUGUGGGAAAGAAACUGUUUUUAAAUCUGACUGAUUUAGUUGUCAGAGACCUGUAGCGCCUCCCGGAGGGCAUGAGUGUGAACAGGUGAUGAGCAGGGUGUGUAUGGUCUGAGAUAAUUUUCCUUGCACGCUGUGUGAUGCGUCUUCUGUACAGUGUGUCUAUGGAUGGAAGAGUGUGGCCAGUGAUUUUGGAGGACUUAUUGAUAAUGCGUUGGAGUUUUUUACGUGAGUGACUGUCCAAAUUUCCAUACCAGACUAUUAUUGAAGAGGUGAGAAAACUUUCAAUAAUGGCUGUGUAAAACUGAAUGAGAAUGUUGUGUCUGACUCUGAAUUUCUUGAGUUGCCUAAAGAAAAAAUAGUCUUUUAUUGGCUUUUUUGUAAAUUUCGUCUGAGUGCUGCUUAAAUUUGAGUGAGUUAUUGAUGUGUGUCCCAAGGAAUUUAAAUGAAUCCGUAAUGUCUAUAACAUCAGUGCUGAUGAGGAUGGGUGCUUUAAGAGUAGGUGAGCGUGAAAAGUCAAUGAUCAGUUCUCUUGUUUUUGAUGCGUUGAGUUGAAGGUUGUUAGUAUGGCACCAAGUGACUGCUUGGGUGACCUGCUCGCGACAGUGUUUUUCAUUAUUGUCAGAGAUAAGUCCAAUUAUUGUGGUGUCAUCUGCAUAUUUGAGGAUGGAUACUGAGCUGUGUGAGGAUGUGAGUGUGUUUGUGUAGAGUGAGAAUAACCAGGGCGAUAGGACACAACCCUGAGGGGCCCCGGUGCUGAGGGUCAGAGGUCGGGAUAAGGGACCACCCAUCCUGACUCUCUGUGUCCUUUCUGAGAGGAAGCUCCUGAUCCAGUGGCAUAACGAAAUAUCAAUGUCCAUAUCCAUAAGUUUAUUGAAUAGAUUGACCGGGUCAAUAGUAUUAAAGACGGAGCUAAAAUCAAUGAACAGCACACGGGCGUAGGUGCGGGGGGUCUCAAGAUGGUGCAGGAUCCUGUGAAGAGCCAGAUUUACUGCAUCUUCCACCGACCUAUUGGCCCUGUAUGCAAACUGGAAACUGUCCAUAAGGGGGGUGGUGAGUUCUUUGAGGUGAGAGAGGAUAAUUCUUUCAAAUGCUUUCAUAAUGACAGAUGUGAGAGAGAUUGGUCUGUAAUCAUUAAGACAUGAUAUUUUAUUGUUCUUUGGGACCGGGAUGAUGACAGAGUCCUUGAAGCAUCUGGGAACUGUGCACUGAAUGAGAGAGCUGUUGAAGAUGUUGGUGUAUACUGGGGCUAGCUGGUAUGCACAGUGUUUCAAAACAGAUGGACUUACACCAUCAGGACCAGGAGCUUUCCCCUUUUUUGACCUAAUAAACCAUGUUCUCACCUCCUCUUCCUGGAUGGAAAAAGGAGGCGACGGCAGAGGGGACGGAGGGGAGUAGGUAGGAAUGGGUAGGUGCUCAAACCUCGCAUAGAAGGUGUUUAACUGAUCUGGGAGGUUUUUGUCAGUGUCAGAAGUUGGAGCAGUGCUGCUUUUAUAGUUGGUCAUUGUUUUAAUUUUUUUCCAGACGGCCUUGGUGUCAUUUGUGGCAAUCUGCUGCUCCAAUUUGUGUUCAUACCUAGAUUUAGCUUUUCUAAUAGCAGCUCUGAGCUCGUAUUUGGCUGCCCUGUAUUGCCCCAUAUCACCCUCAGCAAAGGCACAGCAUUUUUUCCUGCGUCGGGUUUGAAUGUCCUCCGUAAACCACGGCUUGUUGUUACUGUGAAUUUUCACAGUGUUGGUAGGGAUGCACGUCCCGACGCAGAAGUUAAUGUAUGACGUCACUGUAUCCAUCAGUUCAUCCAGACUAGCCGCCGCUGCGCGAAAUACAUCCCAAUCAGUGCACUCAAAACAGCCUCUCAAAGUGUCAACGGCCGCGCUCGACCAGCACUGGACAACCUUGGAUUGUACAUGGUUGGAUUUUAGUUUUUGUCUGUAUUUUGGGACGAGCAGCAGCGUGGCAUGGUCCGACCUGCUCAGCGGUGCCCUCGGAAAGGACCGGUAUGCAUCGCUGAUGGGGACGUAGCAGUGGUCGAGGAUGUUAGCGCCUCUGCUUGGACAGAUAACUUGCUGGAUGUAGUUGGGAAGAUCCUUUGACAGAUUGGCGUGGUUGAAAUCGCCCACUACGAUCACCGACGCGUCGGGAUUACAGUUUUCCACAGAGGAGAUGUAGGUUGCUAACUCUGAAGUGGCUUCGUUAGCAAAAGCCGACGGCGGGAUAUAAACGCCUAUCAAAACAACAGAAGCAAACUCUCUAGGAAGAUAAUAUGGCCUGCACUUCACACAGAUGUAUUCCAGAUGAGGGCUACAGAAGUUGGUAAGCAUCUUGUUGUUGCUGCACCAUCUCUGGUUGAUCAUGAGACAGAUUCCGCCACCUUUGGUUUUCAUUGAUAGCUUCACUGACCUGUCAGCACGGUGUAGAGAGAAGCCGGGUGGAGUAAUAGCCUGGUCAGGUACGGUGUGGUCCAGCCAGGUCUCUGUUAGGCAGAUGGCAGAGCAGUCUCUGUAGUCCUUGUUGGUUUGAAGCAGGAGGAACAGUUCAUCUAUUUUGUUUCUGAUUGAUCGGACAUGGGUGAGAAGCAGUGCUGGUAGUGGUGGCCGGUAUGGGCGCUUCCUGAACCUGCAGAGAACACCGGCAUGACGUUGUUUGCUAGCCGGCUUGUGAUACCAGCGCUGGUCUGCUGGUAUAGGUGUAGCAAGUAUCUCUGCAGGAAUACUUGAGAUCCACACUUCAUCAGCGAUGUAGGGAUUAUCCCUUAAGGAAAGCAACUCCAGACGGCUGUAUGUGUAGCAUAGUGACUUCCUGGCAUGGAAAGCCGACAGCAGUAGCAGACCCAGUAGCAGAGCUGGCACCGUGGCAAGCCUCACGGCCGCCAUCUUGGAGAAGGUUAAACUCCCGUUCUGAAUGGACAUGUGUCUGCUGAGGAAGCUGGGACUUGUUGUGUUGUAGAGACAUGAAAGCUUGUUGUUUGUGUGCAGUGUGAUUGUUGUUGUUGUCUGUGAGCAGGUGUGGGUCUGCAGCAGCUUCUA